rnacentral:lncRNA from 1 species
CAUCAUCAAACAAACUAAAGCUCCCAACCAUAUUCAGAAACUUCAAAUAAGUAAUUAGACAAUUAAUUACUACCACCACAAAUCCUAAACUUCCUCCACACCUUUAAUUUCUUGGAACCAGAAAUGAGCUUGCUCCUUCUUCAUGUUCUCUCUGUUUUCUCAGAUUUUCAGAAAAAGAAAUUGACCGCAACAGACUCUUCUUUUUCAUGCCUAGGUGCUCUGCGUUCUCCUUCUCACACACAGCUCCAUAAUCCUCACCGAGCUUGGUUCCUGAUUUCGCGAGAAAGAGUGUGAUUGAAAACGUAGAUCUGGAACCAAGAAACGCAGAUUUAGGACGGAGGUCGGUGUUAGCAGAGGUGUGGCUGGAGAUCAAGUUUGAGGCGGUGGCUGGUGGUGCAUGGUGCGGCGGACCCCUUCCUCGAUUUCGUAGGUUCAGUCCUUAUUGGAAAGGUAUUAGACUCAUACGUUCAAUUAUAUCCGCUUAGACUUAAAUUUGGUAUAUUAUAAUUUUAAGAGGAUAAAAAAUAGAUCAAAAGUUUUACACUAACAAAAAUUAAAUUUUAUAAGAAUGAAAAAUAUAUUUUAAUUUAUAUAAUAUUAAACUAAUAAAUGGUACAAAUUAAAUAUUUUUUUUAACAAAAUUACUUGUGGUUAAAGCCAACAAAGCCUCUCUCCUAGGCCUUUGUUGUUAUGACAACAUUGACAAGUUUACUUGUUAUAACUUACUAGAGUGCCACCCCACAGUACCGGGGUUUUUUAAAAAUAAAAAAGAGGAAAUGAGAGAGUAAAUAAAAGAGAAAAGUAAAAAAUAAAAAACAUUGUUAUUCCUUGUCCAAGGGCAACAAAGCCUUUGUCCUACCCUAGGCCAUUGUUAGUUUAUAUACUUUUACAUAGUGUAAAUAAAAAAAAAAAUUAUAACUUGUAAUAAUUUUUUAUUUUUAAAUUUUGAUUUUUUAUUUUAUAUUUUAAAAUAAGAUUUUUUGACAAUUUAAAACUAUGAAAAACUUGUUACAAAAUUUUAAUAUCUUAUUUUUUUAUCUGGUUGACACUAUAUAGAAGGAUUAAAAAUAUUUUGUGAAUUUCAAGAUAAAAAAAUCUUUAAAUUUAAAUUUAAAUAAUUAAAAACAGAUUUAAACAUUUGUUUUUCAAUGUACACCGUGUAAAUCACUGUUUGUACCAUUUAAAACAGGAAAGCCUCGGUUUCCUCUGCCAAGUGCCAAUGCAGUGGAAAUGAUCAUUGUGUUUCUACAUUUCAACUCCUUGGAUUUAAUUCAGAUUUAAGGAUUUUGGUACUACAUUUUAGAAUUUAGAGUGGAGUACAGUUUAGGACUAAAGGGUUUUUUUUAUUACCAAUAAGUUAGGUUAGAAUGUUUUUUUUUUAAAUCAUUUAACUGAAAAGCUUAAACUUAAGAUAUUUUAAAAAACAAUUCUAGGCCUAAACAAGACAAACUAUUUAAGAAGAUAUAAAUAAUAUAAUCACGCACGGAGGCAGCGUUAAGUUUUAGGGGGCAACUAAAAAAAUCAUAUAAUCAUCAAAUUUAAUAUAAAAUAUUCAAAUGUUCCUAAAAUAUAUAAUUAUAUAUUAGUAAUUUAUCAAAACAUUAAUAAAAAAAUAUUAAAACAUUAAGACAAGUUAAGUAUUUUUUAAUAGUCAAAAUUGUAAAUAUCAGUCAGUUUUACGUGUCAAAGAAAUUCCAUGACCAAUAUAUAAUAAAAAUUAGUACUCCCUCCAGAGUGUCACAAAUAAGGAUGGAAUAGGCCAGAUCAAGCUUUGAAAGGUUUGAGCCUAAUUUACGAUAAAUCUUUAAGGCCUGAGUCUGACCUAUAACCUAUCAAAGGCUUUUAUUUUAGUUUGACCUGACCUUUUUAAAAGUUUGGUCUGACCUGGUAGCCUUUUUAAAAGCUUUCUUCAUAAUAAAUAUUUAAUAUUUUAUGGAGUAAGAACGUAAUAGGAAAGUUAAAAAAAAAAGUCAAUCAAAAUAAUGAGAAAUAUAAAAUGACACAUGACUCACACCUAAAUUGUAAUCAAAGUCCUUGAUGAUAGAAAUAGAAGUUAUGGAGGAGUAAUGUGUAAUCAAAGUUUGAUAAUUUCAAAAAAAAAAUUAAUUAUAUCCAAAAAAUAAUAUUAUAUAUUGGUACCCAAAAGUCUGGUCUAUUUAAUUUAAUAAACUUUUAAAAAAGUCUGAGCCUAACCUUUUAAUUAAAUAGGUCAGUUUAUGUAGGUCAGGUCGUAAGCCCCUGUAGGUCAGCCUGACCUAUUCCCACCCCUACUCACAAAUAACAAGAGGAAAAAUAAACAAUACACCAUAAAAUGAUUAGAAAGAAAAAUUAUUUGUUAAUGUAUUUAAAUCUCAAACCUCAAAUUAUCAAUCCCUUUCGUAGUUGAACUUAUUUAAUGUGAAUAUAAAAUUUUUAAUUUAUAAUCAAAUCAAUAUAUUAAUGGAUGGUUAAGAAAGACUUAUAAAUAUAAUUUAUAACCUUUAAAAUAGAUAAUAAAGAAACAUAUAUUAUUAAAAAACAAAUAGUAUUCAAAUAUUUUAUUUAAAAAGAGAAAUAAAUAUAUUAUCUUCACAAUAAAUACAAUAAUAAAAUAAAAUAUUUAUAUAAAAAAAUUAUCUUCACAUAAAAAUAUUAUAAAAGGAGAAUAAAAUAUUUUAUAAAAAAACUUAAUUAUUAUUAUUUGACGCCAAAGUAAAAAUUAUUACUUAUAUAUAUAAUAUGUGUAAAAAAGUAAAAUAAAAAAGUCAGGGGAGCAAGCCCCACCCCCUGAUGUCCCUCCGUCCCUGAAUACAAUAAUACAAUUACGUACUUUUUUAUUACAGUAUUUUUUUUGACGGAUUUUUAUUUAUUAUAGUAUUAAAGUUUGUUUUUUAAGAAAUAUCAUGAAAUUCUGUACUCGUCAGCUUAUUAAAGGUCUUAAGUUUAUUAGCCUACAUAAAAGAUUAAAUUUAUAAAUCUAUUUAGAGGUAGGUUUAUUGACUUAUUUACAAAGCUUUACCACAAAGGUUAUUAAAUAGAUUUCUGGAUUAUUUUUUUCUUUCAAAAAUCUAUAUUUCUUACAUAAAUAGGUUAGACAUAGAUCUUAAGUUUGGAAAAUAGGCCAAGUAGGUUUUAAAGUAAGAUCUUGCUAACCACUGUCCUAAUUGGAUAGGAAAUUAAAAAAAAAUAUUUGUAAAAAUCAUAAAAGAGUGUAAAAAUAAUUAUAAUUAAUAUAAUUGUAUGCGUCUUAAUAGAAACCUUUCUAUUUUAAAAUAUUAGUUAGCAUUUGUCUUUAAGGUAAAACACUUACCCGUCAAACUAAUUAUCACUUGUAAUUCAAACUUAUACCAUUUUUUUUUAAUUUGUUGUAUUUCAUAAUUGAACAAGUUUGUGCAUCUGUCAUUAUUUUGAAACUUAUGGCUAAUAAUUAAGGAACAUUUCAGUUUAUAAUUUUUAUUUGUUAGUUUCAAAAGAUUAAUGUAAGGGUGAUCAAAAGUUUAUGUAAUCUUCUAAAUUCAAAUAAAUUAAUUCAAUUUAAGACUACAAUUUUGACUUUUCUUUUCUUUGAAAAUGAACACGUGAAAAAUUAAUCUGUGGUUUACUUAAAUGCUUCAUUUACUACAUCAAAGUACGUAUUAAGAAACUCGUUGAAUAUGGAAAGAUCGCUUUUGAGACGUGAAAGUUAUAACUAUUAAAACUUAAAACAUCAAACACAUUGUGUAUAUAAUGUUAUUUUUAUCUUUGUUAUUAGGCAUGACAAUGAAACCCGUAUUUGUGGGUAUUUGUUCAAACUUGUCCUAACUUUGACGGGGAUAUCUGAGUUGACUGAGUAUGGGUUCAAAGAUUAUCUGACUUUUUUAAUUAAGAACGGGAAUGUCACUACUCGUUCCAUACCUAUUCUCGUACCCGUUCCGAUGAUGAAAUUAUUAAAAUUUUAUUAAUUACUUGUUAAUUUUUUAUAAUUUUUACACAAUUUAAGAUUUUUUUCUUGAUGAUUUUUGUAGACAAAUGCACUACAAAUACAAAUAGUUAAAAAUAAAUGUGUAAUAAUCAAUUUUUUUAAAUCAAAUUUUCAAUAUAAUUUUUUUUAAAAAAAAAACUUUUUUACAAAUUUGAACCGGGAACGGGACAUGGACAGGGAUAUCCAAUACUGGAUACCUAAUAAGUACGGAGAUAACAAAAUUUAACCCGUCGGGUAUCAGGGAUGAGUACGGGUAUAUGUUGAGGAGUCGAGGACUGAGAAGGCAAUACUCGUCCCCGCCCUGUUGCCAUGUCUAUUUGUUAAUCGCAACAAUUUUACAUAAAUGCAAAGAAAGUUGUGCAUAUAAAACGAUCAUCGAUCAAUGUCGACUGUUACACGAUCUUGAAUGGGUACAUCAUUUUCUCCUAAAAUUUCAGUGCAACAAAUCAUCAAUUACAUUAAUUAAAAGACUUAAAUAUGCUUUUAACCUAUAAAAUGCAAGAGUUUUAAUUUUAGUCUUGUAAAAAAAUUAUUUUAUCAUCCUAAAAAGUUAAAAUCAUGAUUUUUAUCUCUUAUUAUAUGUGACACUCAUUAAUUACUUAUGUAUUUAUCGAAGAUCAAGUAAUCAUAUUAGGGGAUACUCAGUGUUUCUGUUGACAUGUUAACAUGAGAUAUCUCUAUAAAAAAAUUAAAUCCCUGAAAUAAAUGUUAUUAAUCUAAGUCUAUCUUAAAAAAGAAUUUUAAGAACUAAAAAUAAUGAUUUCAAAGAGACAAAACAUAAACAAAAAUUACAAGGACUAAAACUAAAAUUGAAUCAUUGGAACUAAAAACAUAUUUAAACUAUAAUUAAAAUGAAAGUAAAUUAUACUCUAUUUUCUAGAAAUGCAUAAAAUUUAUAUUUCCCUCCCUUUAUAUGAUCAAAAUUUUAUGUAAUCUUGUAAAUUCAAAUAAAUUAACUCAAUUUCAGACUACAAUUUUGACUUUUCUUUUCUUUGAAAAUGAAUACGUGAAAAAUUAAUCUAUGGUAUACUUAAAUGCUUCAUUUACUACAUCGUAUUAAGAAACUCGUUGAAUAUGGAAAAAUUGCUUUUGAGACGUGAAAGUAAUAACUAUUAAAACUUGAAACACCAAACACAUUGUGUAUAUAAUGUUGUUAUUUUUAUCUUUUUUAUUAGGCAUGGCAAUGAAACCCGUAUUUGUGGGUAUCCGUCCAAACUCAUCCUGACUUUGACGGAGAUACCCGAGUUGACCGAGUAAGGGUUAGAGAAUUAUUCAACUUUUUAAAUCAGGAACGGGAAUAUCACUACCCGUUCCAUACCUAUUUUCGUACCUGCUUCAAUGAUGAAAUUAUUAAAAUUUUAUUAAUUACUUCUUAAUUUUUUUAUAAUUUUUUACAUAAUUUAAGAUUCUUUUCUUGAUGAUUUUUGUAAACAAAUGUGCUACAAAUACAAAUAGUUAAAAAUAAAUGUGUAACAAUCAAUUUUUUAUAAAUCAAAUUUUUAAUAUAAUUUUUUUACAAAAAAAAACUUUUUUACAAAUUUGAAAAUAUAAUUUUUUUACAAUUUUUUUUUUACAAACUUGAACCGGGGACAGGACAAGAACAGGGAUACCCAAUACCAAUACCCGAUAGGUACGAAGUUGGGGUAACAAAAUUUAACCCGGAGUAUCAAGGACAAAUACGGGUAUAUGUUGGGGAGUCGAGGACUGGGGAGGCAAUACCCGUCCCCGUCCCGCCAUGUUGCCAUGUCUAUUUGUUAAUCACAACAAUUUUACAUAAAUGCAAAGAAAGUUGUACAUAUAAAACGAUCAUCAAUCAAUGUCAACUGUUACAGGAUCUUGAAUGGGUACAUCAUUUUCUCCUAAAAUUUCACUACAACAAAUAAUCAAUUACAUAAACUAAAAGACUUAAAUAUGCUUUUAACCUAUAAAAUGCAAGAGUUUUAAUUUUAGUCUUGUAAAAAAAUUAUGUUAUCAUCCUAAAAAGUUAAAAUCAUGAUUUUUAUCUCUUAUUAUGUGUGACACUCAUUAAUUACUUAUUAUUUAUGGAAGAUCAAGUAACCAUAUUAGGUGAUACUCACUAGUGUUUCUAUUGACAUGUUAACAUGUGAUAUCUCUAAAAAAAAUUAAAUCCCUAAAAUAAAUGUUAUUAAUUUAAGUCUACCUUAAAAAGGAAUUUUAAGGGCUAAAAAUAGUGAUUUCAAAGAGACAAAACAUAAACAAAAAGGUAAAAUUGUAAAUUUGGUCUCUCAGUUUAUUUCCAGUUUCGGAUUUGAUCCCCAAUAAUUUAAUUCACAAAUUGAGUCCUCCUAUUUUGUAAAAUCGUGCAAUGUUGGUCUCCGAGGCCACAAUUGGACGUUGACCGUUACAAAGGAAUGUUGACUGCCACGUGUCACAUCCUUAUUGGAUGAUGACAGUCACGUUUCAUGUUUUGAUUGGUCAAUGAAAAUAACAAUGCAUUUCAUCUUUUAUGGAAUUGACAUCCAAUCAAAACAUGACACGUGACAAUCAUCAUCCAAUAAGAACGUGACACGUGACAGUCAACGCCAUUUGUUAACGGUCAACAUCCAAUUGUAGCCUGGGGAACCAACAUUGCACGAUUUUAUAAAAUAGGAGGACCCAAUUCGUGAAUUAAAUUACGGGGGACCAAAUCCGAAAUUGGAGAUAAAUUGGAGGAUGAAAAAUACAAUUUUGCCAAACAAAAAUUAUAAGGACUAAAACUAAAAUUGAAUCAUUUUAUAAGUAGGAACUAAAAACAUAUUUAAACUAUAAUUAAAAUGAAAGUAAAUUAUACUCUAUUUUCUAGAAAUGUAUAAAAUUUAUAUUUCCCUCCCUUUAUAUGAUAAAAUUUACACACCUACGCGCGCACACCCGCACCCAAACUCAUUCAACUAUUUGCCAAAAAAAUAAUAAAACUAUAACCCUUAAAUUAGUUAAAUAUCUAUUUGUUUCAUAAUAGUGGCUCUCUUGCUCCAAUUCCUAUAUUCAUUAUUCUGCUAACAGCUUUAUUUUCUUUCGAAGCAAAUAUGAGGACUCAAUCAUAAACGAUGUGUUUUUCAGAUACCAGAAAUGGAUUUCACUAAUAUAUUUACACGGUAGCAUUCAAUAGAAUUUUCUUGUGUAUAUUGGGUAAUGUGAAAUGACACAACUUAUGUCAUUUAUCUAUGAACAUAAAAUACUUCUGUUUAUACUGCAGGAAAGAAGAGGCUCCAAUUAUAUGAGUAUACUCAUUACUCUCCUUUUUUUUUAAUUUAGUAUUAUAAUUGGGGAAUAAAAAACCCCAGAAUUUGACUUGGUUUUCUGUAUCCAAAAAUCUUGUUUUUUUGAACAUGAAGAAAUAAAGAAGUCAUUGCAAUUGCCGGAAAUACUAGACCUAUUAAAGGAAAAAAAUGGAAGGAAAGUUUAUCAUGAAAGGGAAACCUCAAUUUACUAUUUGUACCUUAUAUAUAUUAUUUUUAUUUUUUAUUUUUUUAUUCUUAUUUAUAUUAUCAUAUAAAGAUCUAGACAAGCUCUAAUUUAACAGCAGAGAACAGGGCUUGUAUCAGUUGUAUGUAACAUGCACAUCAGCAGCAGAAAUUCCGGGCUGCACACUGUCACCAGCAACAUGUUUCAUUAUCAAUCAGGUCAACGAAAGAUCAUUAUUACCAUGUCCAUUGGUUAUGGCAUAAUUUGUCUGGGAUAUUUUAGCGAUCGAUGGGAUGAGGUAAUUUGCAAAGCAGUUGCUUUGAAUUCCCUUCUCACUCCCAACGUUAGUUUCAGCACCAUUAUUGCCAUUGUCUGCAGGUUCUUUCUUGCUUCUCUCCCCUUUCUUGGUCAAUGAAGAGCACAUUGUUUCUACAACGUUAAAGAUAACUAACAUUAGUUAGAUUUUUAACAAAACAUCAUAGAAGCUCAAGGAUCACACAUUUCAGAUUAUUAUUCUUUCAAUUGCUUAUGUUACCAAUAUUAAACAAACUAUCAAUGCUAUUUUAAGGUCACUAAUUCUUUCACUAUAUUCUUGCAUUCAAUAGAAACAAAUAGCAAAAGACGAACUGAAGAAUUGGUCCUUCUUUUCUCAGCAUGAAGUAUGACCCUAUAACCUAUCAUAAAACUGAUUUCAAAGUAUUUUCCAAUUAGGUUAUUGGCCUAAGAUCGUCUAACAGCACACAUUUCUCAUUCAGUCAUUCUCUAUUUUUUGUUCUUUCACGAUGAUUUUUAAAUUCAAGGAAAGUUAUCUUCAUUUCAGCCAAUUUCUAUAAGCAUACAAAUGAUGAAGCCAAAUUGGUUUAUUGCUUCUUGCUUUAGAAAAGCUUAUGCAUGACAACAAGGUGACCCUGCAGUGGGUGAAUAUAUGGCUUCUCAUUUUUAUGUUCUAGCCUGGCAUUCUUAAUUUUAUGAAUAUGAUGAUGCAAGUUGUUUACAUAGGUAAGCUGAGUAAGACAAAUCCCUACAAAGUACAGAUGCAUCAUAAAGAAGUUAGGUAUGGGUACACUACAUGAUCAGCUGAAUUAGUAUUUCAGUCACAACACAUAAGGUAAAUAUUUGUUAGCCGUGUCAAAUGGGACUUUCCACAAUGACUGUUUAUAGAACAUUAUAGUUUUUUUUUUAUUAGCAAAUGUUAGCAAUUAGUAUGUUAUGUUAGUGGGAGAAUUCAAACCCAUGACCUCCUUAUCACUCCAACCCUUAUGCCCCUCCCCCAACUACAAAACCACUUUAUGACUCCCUAUAGAAUAUUACAGUUAAUCUUAAGACAGGAAUGUCCAGAUUAAUUUUGCCCAAACAAAGUUGUAAGUGUGAAGACUUCAACACCAUAACAAAUUAAUACUAAAGCCUAACCUUUGAUGCUGCCAUGAGUAACGAGUCCGCGAAGAAUGUCCAAGAACUUGGUCAAUAUAAGCCUUUCCUGCUCUCUGUAAACAUCAGUGCAUCCAUCAGAAUUAAAUGACUUUUGAAUCAUGUUUUGAAAAGUGCUGUUGCAUGCAACUCCAUCUGCAGAACAAUUUCCAAAAAGCAUAUCAUCCUGUUCAUCACACAUCAAUGCUAGUGUUUCAGGUGAUAAUGGCCUAUUAUAAUGAGCGACAUCAACUGCUUCUGCUU